rnacentral:lncRNA from 1 species
UUGUAGCAUUCUAGAAAGGUUCAGUCCUUCACUAUAUCUGUGGAUUGAAAUCUGAAAAUUUGAUAAGUGCGCUAGAGUAAGUUUUCUAACAGUAAGAAAAAAGGUUUUAUCCCUACAGCACAAGUAUAGAAACAGUUUUUUAUCCCUAAAGCAUGUAGUUAACAGACAAUUAGUUCUUAUAAAAGAGUUCAUCAUGUCACUGAUCAUACUGGUCUGCUUGUCAAGUUGAAAUAUUUUUGGCCAAUUUGCAUGCCUUGUGCAAAGCCAGAUGAAGAGAAUAUCGAUGUUUUGUGUGUUCAUUUCAGAAGUUUCUUGCAUUCAGUUAGAGAGGAUGGUAAAAGAGACGCUAGAAUGAGCCGAGGCAUUGUAGGUCAAGCAAAUGCAUUUCAUGUUGUAGCCAUCCAUCAUGCAGCUUAUUCUUCUGUGGAAGCAAAAGCAAUCAUCCUUGUCAAUAUGAGCAAGAUCACAAAGUGCAUCCUUGUCUCCAAAAUCUCAGUUGUUAUCAGUCUUUGAAGCCACAACCCAAACACAAAAAUG